rnacentral:rRNA from 1 species
GCUUUACGGCCAUACCAGCCCUGAAUCA